AGCAGCCGCGGUAAUUCCAGCUCCAAUAGCGUAUAUUAAAGUUGUUGCAGUUAAAAAGCUCGUAGUUGAAUUUCGGGGUCAGCAGGUCGGUCGUGCCUAUGGUAUGCACUGGCCUUGCUGAUUCCUCCCUCUUGAUGAGCCGUGAUGCCAUUAGUUUGGUGUUGCGGGGAAUCAGGACUGUUACUUUGAAAAAAUUAGAGUGUUUAAAGCAGGCAUACGCUUGAAUACAUUAGCAUGGAAUAAUGAAAUAGGACGUUCGAUCCUAUUUUGUUGGUUUCUAGGAUUGACGUAAUGAUUAAUAGGGAUAGUUGGGGGCAUUAGUAUUCAAUUGUCAGAGGUGAAAUUCUUGGAUUUAUUGAAGACUAACUACUGCGAAAGCAUUUGCCAAGGAUGUUUUCAUUAAUCAAGAACGAAAGUUAGGGGAUCGAAGACGAUCAGAUACCGUCGUAGUCUUAACCAUAAACUAUGCCGACUAGGGAUCGGAUGAUGUUAAUUUUUUAAUGACUCA
rnacentral:rRNA from 1 species